rnacentral:tRNA from 1 species
GCCUGGGUGGCUCAGCAGUUUAGCGCCUGUCUUCAGCCCAGGACAUGAUCCUGGAGACCCGGGAUCGAAUCCCGCAUCAGGCU